AGUCCCUUUGAAGCCUCCUAGUGCAGCAGAAUCCAAAGACUGAAAAACAGAAUUGCCUGACUGAAAGGACCAUGCUGAGAGAAGACACAGCAAGAGAAAACAACUUGACGUUCAACUGAGUGGAUUCAGUUCAGCCGUUACUGGAAGAGCGAGGUAAACUCCAUGGAAGAGUCAGGUUCAGGAAUACUUGAGGCAACUCCCAGAGGCAGGGAGCAAAGUUCCUUCAAAACCACCAAGAGAUUCAGCCACUUCUGCUCCAUAUACAAGAUGUGCAUGUUAGGACAGCAGGAAAUGUAACUGUGGCCAGGUGAAAGGAAGAGACCCCAGCUUGCAGUGCUCAGAGGCAUGAUGCCACCUGCCAAAGCUGUGUCACAAUGUGAUGGCUGGCCUGCGGCAAGCUCAGAAGAGAAUGGGG